rnacentral:rRNA from 1 species
GACGAACGCUGGCGGCGUGCCUAAUACAUGCAAGUCGAACGCUUCUUUCCUCCCGAGUGCUUGCACUCAAUUGGAAAGAGGAGUGGCGGACGGGUGAGUAACACGUGGGUAACCUACCCAUCAGAGGGGGAUAACACUUGGAAACAGGUGCUAAUACCGCAUAACAGUUUAUGCUGCAUGGCAUAAGAGUGAAAGGCGCUUUCGGGUGUCGCUGAUGGAUGGACCCGCGGUGCAUUAGCUAGUUGGUGAGGUAACGGCUCACCAAGGCCACGGUGGAUAGCCGACCUGAGAGGGUGAUCGGCCACACUGGGACUGAGACACGGCCCAGACGCCUACGGGAGGCAGCAGUAGGGAAUCUUCGGCAAUGGACGGAAGUCUGACCGAGCAACGCCGCGUGAGUGAAGAAGGUUUUCGGAUCGUAAAACUCUGUUGUUAGAGAAGAACAAGGACGUUAGUAACUGAACGUCCCCUGACGGUAUCUAACCAGAAAGCCACGGCUAACUACGUGCCAGCCGCCGCCGUAA